GUGCUUGCUUCAGUAGCACAUAUACUAAAAUUGGAGAUAUAUAGAGAAGAUCUCUUGCACAAAGAUGACACAGUUUCUUGAAGCAUUCCAUAUUUUU
rnacentral:snRNA from 1 species